GGCGUUGACCAAGCCGUCCUCCAUGGGCCUGACCCCCUUCAGCAGCUCCCCGUCGAAGACCUCCAUGGUCGUCUCCUCCAGCACCGCCAUCUUCACCAGCCCCGGCAGGUCCUCCCUCCCCGGCCUCUUCCCCAUCAGCAUCUCCAGCAGCAGGAUCCCGAACGAAUAAACGUCGCUCCUCGCGCAGCUCCUCUUCAUUCUCUGCAACUCUGGCGCCUUGUACCCCGCCGCCUUCGCUCCGGCGAGCAUCUCUUCCGCCACCUCCGCCACCAGCAGCUUGUGCACGCCGUUCUCCGUCAACCUCGCCACGAAG
rnacentral:lncRNA from 1 species